ACAGCAGCAGCCGCGGUAAUACGAAGGGGGCUAGCGUUGUUCGGAAUUACUGGGCGUAAAGCGCACGUAGGCGGAUAUUUAAGUCAGGGGUGAAAUCCCGCAGCUCAACUGCGGAACUGCCUUUGAUACUGGGUAUCUUGAGUAUGGAAGAGGUUAGUGGAAUUGCGAGUGUAGAGGUGAAAUUCGUAGAUAUUCGCAGGAACACCAGUGGCGAAGGCGGCUAACUGGUCCAUAACUGACGCUGAGGUGCGAAAGCGUGGGGAGCAAACAGGAUUAGAUACCCCGGUAGUCCCUGUCUCUUAUAC
rnacentral:rRNA from 1 species